ACAACACGACGAACCUCCGCCGAC
rnacentral:siRNA from 1 species